GUCCACGCCGUAAACGAUGAAUGCCAGUCGUCGGGUAGCAUGCUAUUCGGUGACACACCUAACGGAUUAAGCAUUCCGCCUGGGGAGUACGGUCGCAAGAUUAAAACUCAAAGGAAUUGACGGGGGCCCCGCACAAGCGGUGGAGCAUGUGGUUUAAUUCGAAGCAACGCGCAGAACCUUACCAACCCUUGACAUGGAUAUCGCGGAACCGGAGACGGUUCUUUCAGUUCGGCUGGAUAUCACACAGGUGCUGCAUGGCUGUCGU
rnacentral:rRNA from 1 species